rnacentral:tRNA from 1 species
ACAGUCGCGGCUCUGUGGUUAAGGCGAUGGACUAGAAAUCCAUUGGGGUCUCCCCACACAUGUUCGAAUCUUGGCGGCUGCG